rnacentral:rRNA from 1 species
CUACGGGGUGCUGCAGUGGGGAAUAUUGCACAAUGGGCGCAAGCCUGAUGCAGCCAUGCCGCGUGUAUGAAGAAGGCCUUCGGGUUGUAAAGUACUUUCAGCGGGGAGGAAGGGAGUAAAGUUAAUACCUUUGCUCAUUGACGUUACCCGCAGAAGAAGCACCGGCUAACUCCGUGCCAGCAGCCGCGGUAAUACGGAGGGUGCAAGCGUUAAUCGGAAUUACUGGGCGUAAAGCGCACGCAGGCGGUUUGUUAAGUCAGAUGUGAAAUCCCCGGGCUCAACCUGGGAACUGCAUCUGAUACUGGCAAGCUUGAGUCUCGUAGAGGGGGGUAGAAUUCCAGGUGUAGCGGUGAAAUGCGUAGAGAUCUGGAGGAAUACCGGUGGCGAAGGCGGCCCCCUGGACGAAGACUGACGCUCAGGUGCGAAAGCGUGGGUAGCAAACAGGAUUAGAUACCCCCGUAGUC